AUUUAUGCAACGAGCACCAUCGAGUUAUACAUCCAGCUGGAAGCUAAUCUGAGUUUGCUCGCUCUCUCUGUUUGAUCUAUGGAGUUUGCGCAGCGUGAUGUUUAAGGAUGUAACCUAACAUUUUUAGCACAUACCACAUACCCUGUUUUUAGUUUUGAAAUUUGUGGGUCGUGAAACAAUGGCACAAGCAAUUUUUGUUCACGUCAAUUGCCCAGGUAACGACAACGAUAUGGCGGAUGCGGCAGCAAGGCACGCAGCAGCCGUUGAUCUGUUUACAAGACAAUGCCCCUUAGCGGCUAGUGUGGAGGAAGUUGUUGGCAUUAGAGGUAGAGGACGAAAAAAAUGUAGAUGGAGAGUGAGAUAUACCAGGAAUAUGAACGCAGGAUAUCUCCAGAUGGAUGGCGAACAACUGGUGUUGGAUAUUAUGAAUAACAAGCCGAACAAUACGGAGAUUGUUGAAAAAACCAGAAGUGUAUAUCCCCCAUUCAUAGAACUAAUUUACUCUUGCGGAUGUAGAUGCAAUGUAUCCCCAACAUCAAGUAUGUCAAUUAAAAGAUGUGAUUCUGUUGUUAAUUUAAAGGUGGAGGAGAAUUUGGUUAAUUUAAAGUUGGAGGAGGAUCUCCAAGAAUAAGGCCUGAUUUCAUAAUCAAUUUUUACCAAUUGAUGAUUAGAAUGCUAGAAUUAUUUAAUUUUAUUGUUUAUUGUAUUAUAUGAACUAUUACAUCCUAGCCGUAAGUUAGUAAACAGGGUUUUAAAUUUGAUUAUGAAAUGGACAGAAUUGGCAUUUUUUUUAUGUAUAGAGUGACGUUAAUAUUCUAGGUACCUAAUACAAGUUAGUGUUUUAGGGUCAAUUUUUUAUUUCAGGGAACCUUUGGCUGUAAUUGAAUAAAUUGAAUAAAGAUAAAUAUUUGUUGAAAUA